rnacentral:rRNA from 1 species
UUAAAUUUAAUUUAUUAAUUUUGUUAAUUUUUUAUUAAAAUAUUAAAAAUAAUUUUAUAAGAGAAAGUUUUAGUAUUGUUUAAAGAAAAAAUAAAUUUAAUUAUAGUUUAAUAGUAUUGUAAAAGAAAA